rnacentral:lncRNA from 1 species
CCCCAACCAUUCCUCAAAUGGCCUACAUACAGAAAAUAUGUACCUGUUUUUCCCUUAUUUCAUGGCUUCUAAUUCUAUACACUGAAGGAAGGCAACUAAAACCAUUCCAUAAAGAAUCUCCACCGUCAACUACUCCGAAUCAAACCAACAAAUUUGUCAGCUAUGAUGGGACGAAUAUUAAUGAUUUUCGACCAACAGCACCAGGAACCAGUCCUGGUAUUGGCCACUCUUUUGCAGAACAAAAAGAACACAUCCAAGAUAAAGCUACAAGUUUCACACAUAGUACUGUUAGCCACACUGUUGCGGGAGCUAAGGAUGAUUUUCGACCCACAGGACCAGGCCACAGCCCUGGUGUUGGUCAUUCUUUCCAGAACGUGAAAAAAGGAUCAAAUGCAUAAACAAAACCAAAUAAUAAUAAUAAUAAUAAGUACAAAUUUCUGGGCCUGUUUAAACUAUUCUAAUUGUAUAUGUAUUACUGUACAUUUGUGUCCAGCCGCUACGCAUGUAUAAUUAUUAUUGUCAUUUUAAGUAGUUAUUUUAUGGAGUGAUUAAACCGCAGGUGGAUUGUGUUUAAUGUAUAUUUUAGAACUCAUGUAAUAUACCAGCCCUAUCAGCUAUUGUGCAAAUAAAUUCAGUGUUUGAGUUAACUUUUCG